rnacentral:rRNA from 1 species
GAUGAACGCUAGCGGCAGGCUUAAUACAUGCAAGUCGAGGGGCAGCAUGAUUGUAGCAAUACAAUUGAUGGCGACCGGCAAACGGGUGCGGAACACGUACACAACCUUCCAACAAGUGGGGGAUAGCCCAGAGAAAUUUGGAUUAAUACCCCGUAACAUAGCGAUGUGGCAUCACAUUGCUAUUAUAGAUUUUUCGCUUGUUGAUGGGUGUGCGGCUGAUUAGAUAGUUGGCGGGGUAGCGGCCCACCAAGUCUACGAUCAGUAGCUGAUGUGAGAGCAUGAUCAGCCACACGGGCACUGAGACACGGGCCCGACUCCUACGGGAGGCAGCAGUAAGGAAUAUUGGACAAUGGACGCAAGUCUGAUCCUGCCAUGCCGCGUGAAGGAUUAAGGUCCUCUGGAUUGUAAACUUCUUUUAUAAGGGACGAAAAAAGGCUUUUCUAAGUCGUCUGACGGUACCUUAUGAAUAAGCACCGGCUAACUACGUGCCAGCCGCCGCGGUAAAAC